ensembl:lncRNA
CUUCCUGAGAAGUGUAGAUCGUCUUGUAGCAUGUGUGUAGUAAUGUGUGCUUUUUGUGUAGGGUGGGAACAUAAUGUGUAGCAGUGUACCCUGCCCUACACCUGACUGCAGUUUGGUGGAAACUGUCAGUGGAGAGUGUUGUCCCAGGUGUCGAAGUAAGUGUGUGUGUGUGUGUGAGAGUGUGAGAGUGUGUGAGAGUGUGUGUGAGUGUGUGUGAGAGUGUGUGUGUGUGUGAGAGUGUGAGAGUGUGUGUGAGUGUGUGUGAGUGUGUGUGAGUGUGUGUGAGAGUGUGUGUGUGUGAGAGUGUGUGUGAGAGUGUGUGAGAGUGUGUGAGUGUGUGAGAGUGUGUGAGAGUGUGUGAGAGUGUGUGUGAGAGAGUGUGAGAGAGUGUGUGAGAGAGUGUGUGUGUGAGUGUGUGUGAGAGUGUGUGUGAGAGUGUGUGUGAGAGUGUGUGUGAGAGUGUGUGAGAGUGUGUGAGUGUGUGAGAGUGUGUGAGAGUGUGUGUGUGAGAGUGUGUGUGUGAGAGUGUGUGUGAGAGUGUGUGAGAGUGUGUGAGUGUGUGAGAGUGUGUGAGAGUGUGUGAGAGUGUGUGAGAGUGUGUGUAAGAGAGUGUGAGAGAGUGUGUGAGAGAGUGUGU